AUUGAACGCUGGCGGCAUGCUUUACACAUGCAAGUCGAACGGCAGCGCGGGCUUCGGCCUGGCGGCGAGUGGCGAACGGGUGAGUAAUGCAUCGGAAAGUGCCCAGUAGUGGGGGAUAGCCCGGCGAAAGCCGGAUUAAUUCCGCAUACGACCUGAGGGUGAAAGCGGGGGACCGAAAGGCCUCGCGCUAUUGGAGCGGCCGAUGUCGGAUUAGCUAGUUGGUGGGGUAAAGGCUUACCAAGGCGACGAUCCGUAGCUGGUCUGAGAGGGCGACCAGCCACACUGGGACUGAGACGCGGCCCAGACUCCUACGGGAGGCAGCAGUGGGGAAUUUUGGACAAUGGGGGCAACCCUGAUCCAGCCAUGCCGCGUGCGGGAAGAAGGCCUUCGGGUUGUAAAACGCUUUUGUUCGGGAAGAAAGCCUCUGGGCUAAUACCCCGGGGGGAUGACGGUACCGGAAGAAUAAGCACCGGCUAACUACGUG
rnacentral:rRNA from 1 species